rnacentral:lncRNA from 1 species
UGGGGAAGCGGGGAACCGAGGGGCAACCAGGGGAAGAUGGGGCGCUGGAGGAGAGCUUGUGGGAGCCAAGGAGCACCUUGGACAUCUGGAGUCUGGCAGGAGUGAUGACGGGUGGAGGGGCUAGCUCGGGGCAGGGCUGGUGGGGCCUGGGGCCAGUGAGGAGUGUGGAGUAGGCGCCCAGGCAUCGUGCAGACAGGGCGACAUCAGCUGGGGACGAUGGGCCUGAGCUAGGGCUGGAGAGAAGGGGGAGCCAGACAUUCAUCCCGGUCACUUUUGGUUACAGGACGUGGCAGCUGGUUGGACGAGGGGAGCUGGUGGGCAGGGUUUGAUCCCAGGGCCUGGGCAACGGAGGUGUAGCUGGCAGCAGCGGGCAGGUGAGGACCCCAUCUGCCGGGCAGGUGAGUCCCUUCCCUCCCCAGGCCUUGCUUCCCCAGCCUUCUGAAAGAAGGAGGUUUAGGGGAUCGAGGGCUGGCGGGGAGAAGCAGACACCCUCCCAGCAGAGGGGCAGGAUGGGAGCAGGAGAGUUAGCAAAGGUGACAUCUUCUCGGGGGGAGCCGAGACUGCGCAAGGCUGGGGGGCUGUGGGCCCAUCCCAGGCAGAAAGAGCAAGAGGGCAGGGAGGGAGCACAGGGGUGGCCAGCGUAGGGUCCAGCACGUGGGGUGGUACCCCAGGCCUGGGUCAGACAGGGACAAGGCAGGGGACACAGGACAGAGGGGUCCCCAGCUGCCACCUCACCCACCGCAAUUCAUUUAGUAGCAGGCACAGGGGCAGCUCCGGCACGGCUUUCUCAGGCCUAUGCCGGAGCCUCGAGGGCUGGAGAGCGGGAAGACAGGCAGUGCUCGGGGAGUCGCAGCGUGACGUCAUCAGGAGGGUGAAGCGCCCACGGGAGGGGGGCCCCGGGACAUUGCGCAGCAAGGAGGCUGCAGGGGCUCGGCCUGCGGGCGCCGGUCCCACGAGGCACUGCGGCCCAGGGUCUGGUGCGGAGAGGGCCCACAGUGGACUUGGUGACGCUGUAUGCCCUCACCGCUCAGCCCCUGGGGCUGGCUUGGCAGACACUGAGUGGGACCUCACUCCUUCCCCAUCCACAGAAAUGGUGCUACCCAGCUCAAGCCUGGGCCUUUGAAUCCGGACACAAAACCCUCUAGCUUGGAAAGGAAUAUGCUGCACUUUACAACCACUGCACUACCUGACUCAGGAAUCGGCUCUGGAAGGUGAAGCUAGAGGAACGAGACCUCAUCAACCCAACACCAAAGACACCAUCGGAACAGCAGCGCCCGCAGCACCCACCCCCCACCGGCAACUCCAUCUUCAUGGCCACCCCCUGCGGCGGACGGUUGACCACCAGCCACCACGUCAUCCCAGAGCUGAGCUCCUCCAGCGGGAUGACCCCGUCCCCACCACCUCCCUCUUCUUCUUUUUCAUCCUUCUGUCUCUUUGUUUCUGAGCUUUCCUGUCUUUCCUUUUUCUGAGAGAUUCAAAGCCUCCACGACUCUGUUUCCCCCGUCCCUUCUGAAUUUAAUUUGCACUAAGUCAUUUGCACUGGUUGGAGUUGUGGAGACGGCCUUGAGUCUCGGUGUGAGUGUGCGUGAGUGUGAGCCACCUUGGCAAGUGCCCGCCCAGAGACCGGCCGCCCUCCAUCUGGGCCGGGUGACUGGGCGCCGGCUGUGUGCCCGAGGCCUCACCCUGCCCUCGCCUAGUCUGGAAGCUCCGACCGACAUCACGGAGCAGCCUUCAAGCAUUCCAUUACGCCCCAUCUCGCUCUGUGCCCCUCCCCACCAGGGCUUCAGCAGGAGCC